CUUCCAAUAAUAUGUUCUGAAUACAGCUGUUAACUGUUUAUUCUGUGUAAAUGGUGAUUGUGAUAAUGUGUGAUAAGUGUGCAGUUUAACUUGAAAGUGGUUUAAUUUAUAUGUUGCUGUGUUGUUUUAAAUUAUAUGUGAAUCAGUUUGUCACAGUCUAGUGAUACUGAUAAGAAUGACAGCCAAAUAACCUAGCAAAUAACUGUUUUAUUAGUUGUUGAAUACUAGCGUUUUGGCCAAGAAUAGUUGGAGAUUUGGAGGUGUUAGUUUAAGAUUGCUUUUAUAUUGUGUCUAUCUGUGUUUCCUAGGAGGGAGACAGAGUGUGUAGUUGUGUGCCCAUAAAUGUGAUUUCUGUAUUGGCAUAUCUGCUGGGUACCCAUUAUGUGUUUCUACAAAGAUAUUGCUUUGUGAGAUGACGUGUAAUAUUACAUUGGAUGCUGAGUAUGAGUUAUAUGGUUUGAAAUGAAUUGGUGAUUAUGAGUUUAGUACUUCAGUAAGAUGUGCUAAAAUUUGGAACAAGGUGGAAGCUGAAAUGUUGGGAUUAUGGAAGAAUAGGUAGUCUAUAUUCACUGCUUUGGCAUAUAAGCAGGAUGCAAAGGAAGAGAUUGGUAAUAUGAUUUUUGUAAAGAAAUUUUACAAGUGUUGGAAGGAUGAGGCAGGUUUGAUGUCUGGAGAUGAUAUGGAUCUCCUUAAAAUACAGUCAUGCCUUGGUAAUAUGUUGCCACAGUAUUCUUUGCUUGUGAAACAAUUGAUUUCAGACUGGGCCAAUUUGGAUAGCUCAGAGUUUCUUACCAAGGUUAUAGAAAAGGAAAAUGCAGGUUGUUUUGAAUUAAGAAAAGAUUUAGGAAAGUAAGGUUGCUUAUUAUGCUCAGGGAUUGCAACAUAUUAUGUCCAGCUACACAGGAUGAGAGCAAGGAUGGGAUGGAGCACAUAAAGCCCGUGGAAGG